rnacentral:rRNA from 1 species
CCCUUAGAUGUUCUGGGCCGCACGCGUGUUACACUGAUGCGUUCAUCAAGCUCCCCACCUUGGCUCGAGAGGCCUCGGUAAUCUUGAAAUCGCAUCGUGCUAGGGACAGACCAUUGUAAUUUUUGGUCUCCAACGAGGAAUUUCUAGUAAGCGUGAGUCAUCAACUCGCAUUGAUUACGUCCCUGUCCUUUGUACACACCGCCCGUCGCUACUACCGAUUGAAUCAUUUGGUGAGGUCCACGGACUGUCGUACUUUCUUCCUCGUGUUGAUUGUACUUCUUGGGAAGUGGCACGAACCUGAUGAUUUAGAGGAAGUAAAAGUCGUAACA